rnacentral:rRNA from 1 species
CCCUUAGAUGUCCGGGGCCGCACGCGCGCUACACUGAAGGAAUCAGCGUGGCUUUCUCCCUGACCCGAAAGGGUUGGGAAACCCGUUGAAUCUCCUUCGUGAUAGGGAUUGGGGCUUGAAAUUGUUCCCCAUGAACGAGGAAUUCCCAGUAAGCGCGAGUCAUAAGCUCGCGUUGAUUACGUCCUGCCCUUUGUACACACCGCCCGUCGCUACUACCGAUUGAACGGUUUAGUGAGGGCCUCGGAUUGGUCUCGGCCCGCUCUUUACCGGGCGGCGCCGUUGGUCGAGAAGACGCUCGAACUUGAUCGUUUAGAGGAAGUAAAAGUCGUAACA